CUUAGCGGCGGACGGGUGAGUAAUGCUUAGGAAUCUGCCUAUUAGUGGGGGACAACAUUCCGAAAGGAAUGCUAAUACCGCAUACGCCCUACGGGAGAAAGCAGGGGAUCUUCGGACCUUGCGCUAAUAGAUGAGCCUAAGUCGGAUUAGCUAGUUGGUGGGGUAAAGGCCUACCAAGGCGACGAUCUGUAGCGGGUCUGAGAGGAUGAUCCGCCACACUGGGACUGAGACACGGCCCAGACUCCUACGGGAGGCAGCAGUGGGGAAUAUUGGACAAUGGGGGGAACCCUGAUCCAGCCAUGCCGUGUGUGUGAAGAAGGCCUUAUGGUUGUAAAGCACUUUAAGCGAGGAGGAGGCUACUGAGACUAAUACUCUUGGAUAGUGGACGUUACUCGCAGAAUAAGCACCGGCUAACUCUGUGCCAGCAGCCGCGGUAAUACAGAGGGUGCGAGCGUUAAUCGGAUUUACUGGGCGUAAAGCGUGCGUAGGCGGCUUUUUAAGUCGGAUGUGAAAUCCCCGAGCUUAACUUGGGAAUUGCAUUCGAUACUGGGAAGCUAGAGUAUGGGAGAGGAUGGUAGAAUUCCAGGUGUAGCGGUGAAAUGCGUAGAGAUCUGGAGGAAUACCGAUGGCGAAGGCAGCCAUCUGGCCUAAUACUGACGCUGAGGUACGAAAGCAUGGGGAGCAAACAGGAUUAGAUACCCUGGUAGUCCAUGCCGUAAACGAUGUCUACUAGCCGUUGGGGCCUUUGAGGCUUUAGUGGCGCAGCUAGCGCAAUAA
rnacentral:rRNA from 1 species